UCCAACCCAGGGCCGCAGUCGCGUCGGCUAGCCUGCGAGUCUCAGAGGAAAAAGGGGCUCCAGAAGUGCGUGCCCCGGGCCGCUCACCCGGCCCUGCAAUUGUGGGAAGAAGAGAAUAGAGGAGUGAAGAAGGGUGCAUUUUCCAUCUCACCUCAGUCCUCGGCUAGGAAAACCACAUAGCCCUGACCAGUGGGCUCAAGGCCCUGCUGGAAACUGGUUCUGAGUGUAUAUGUCUCAGCUUGAGAUGAGAAAAUGAGAACAAGUAACAAGCAUAUUUUUUCAACUACUCAAGGCUGAUGAAAGCAGAUGAGCCAGUAUAAAUUAUCUGGGCUGGCUCCCAGAAUGGGGAAGCUGUUUUGCAUACCAGCAUAAAUCCUGUAUGCAGACUUCUAGCUGGUCAACCCUCGAGGAUCAGGUCUUUUCUAAAGUGCAGGUUAGGGGCUUCCCUGGUGGCGCAGUGGUUAAGAAUCUGUCUGCCAAUGCAGGGGACACGGGUUCGAGCCCUGGUCUGGGAAGAUCCCAC